GUACACUCCUACGGGAGGCAGCAGUGGGGAAUAUUGCACAAUGGGCGCAAGCCUGAUGCAGUCAUGCCGCGUGUAUGAAGAAGGCCUUCGGGUUGUAAAGUACUUUCAGCGGGGAGGAAGGCGAUAAGGUUAAUAACCUUGUCGAUUGACGUUACCCGCAGAAGAAGCACCGGCUAACUCCGUGCCAGCAGCCGCGGUAAUACGGAGGGUGCAAGCGUUAAUCGGAAUUACUGGGCGUAAAGCGCACGCAGGCGGUCUGUCAAGUCGGAUGUGAAAUCCCCGGGCUCAACCUGGGAACUGCAUUCGAAACUGGCAGGCUAGAGUCUUGUAGAGGGGGGUAGAAUUCCAGGUGUAGCGGUGAAAUGCGUAGAGAUCUGGAGGAAUACCGGUGGCGAAGGCGGCCCCCUGGACAAAGACUGACGCUCAGGUGCGAAAGCGUGGGGAGCAAACAGGAUUAGAAACCCCUGUAGUCCCAUGA
rnacentral:rRNA from 1 species